UUAGGAAUAUUCGUCAAUGGGGGAAACCCUGAACGAGCAAUGCCGCGUGAAUGAUGAAGGUCUUUGGAUCGUAAAAUUCUGUUGUUAGGGAAGAACGACCUAUAUAGGAAAUGAUAUAGGAGUGACGGUACCUUUCAAGAAAGCUCCGGCUAACUACGUGCCAGCAGCCGCGGUAAUACGUAGGGAGCGAGCGUUAUCCGGAUUUAUUGGGUGUAAAGGGUGCGUAGGCGGCUUUUUAAGUCUGUGGUCUAAGUCCGAAGCUUAACUUCGGUUCGCCACAGAAACUGGGAAGCUUGAGUAUAGUAGAGGCAAGUGGAAUUUCUAGUGUAGCGGUUAAAUGCGUAGAUAUUAGAAGGAACACCAGUGGCGAAGGCGACUUGCUGGGCUAUUACUGACGCUG
rnacentral:rRNA from 1 species